CCUACGGGAGGCAGCAGUAAGGAAUAUUGGUCAAUGGAGGCAACUCUGAACCAGCCAUGCCGCGUGCAGGAAGACUGCCCUAUGGGUUGUAAACUGCUUUUAUCCGGGGAAUAAACCUGCUUACGUGUAAGUAGCUGAAUGUACCGGAAGAAUAAGGAUCGGCUAACUCCGUGCCAGCAGCCGCGGUAAUACGGAGGAUCCAAGCGUUAUCCGGAUUUAUUGGGUUUAAAGGGUGCGUAGGCGGCCUGUUAAGUCAGGGGUGAAAGACGGUAGCUCAACUAUCGCAGUGCCCUUGAUACUGAUGGGCUUGAAUGGACUAGAGGGUAGGCGGAAUGAGACAAGUAGCGGUGAAAUGCAUAGAUAUGUCUCAGAACACCGAUUGCGAAGGCAGCUUACUAUGGUCUUAUUGACGCUGAGGCACGGAAAGCGUGGGGAUCAAACAGGAUUAGAUACCCUGGUAGUCC
rnacentral:rRNA from 1 species